GGGCUGCGUGGUCGGCGUCGGGCCAUCCAAACGGAGCUCGUUCUGAGAUUAUACGGCGUUGAACUUGAUCUGGAUAAUACCAGCGAAAGGAUCAUGCUCUCGAUGUUUC
rnacentral:ncRNA from 1 species